rnacentral:rRNA from 1 species
CGAUCCAGCCAUGCCGCGUGUGUGAAGAAGGCUUUCGGGUUGUAAAGCACUUUCAGUGAGGAAGAAGGCCUUGGGGCUAAUACCCCCGAGGAAGGACAUCACUCACAGAAGAAGCACCGGCUAACUCCGUGCCAGCAGCCGCGGUAAUACGGAGGGUGCGAGCGUUAAUCGGAAUUACUGGGCGUAAAGCGCGCGUAGGCGGCGUGAUAAGCCGGUUGUGAAAGCCCCGGGCUCAACCUGGGAACGGCACCCGGAACUGUCAGGCUAGAGUGCAGGAGAGGAAGGUAGAAUUCCCGGUGUAGCGGUGAAAUGCGUAGAGAUCGGGAGGAAUACCAGUGGCGAAGGCGGCCUUCUGGACUGACACUGACGCUGAGGUGCGAAAGCGUGGGUAGCAAACAGGAUUAGAUACCCUGGUAGUCCACGCCGUAAACGAUGUCGACUAGCCGUUGGGGUCCUUGAGACCUUUGUGGCGCAGUUAACGCGAUAAGUCGACCGCCUGGGGAGUACGGCCGCAAGGUUA